AGUGUUCCGCCUGGGGAGUACGCACGCAAGUGUGAAACUCAAAGGAAUUGACGGGGGCCCGCACAAGCGGUGGAGUAUGUGGUUUAAUUCGAUGCAACGCGAAGAACCUUACCAGGGUUUGACAUCCUGCGAACCUCUUAGAAAUUUGAGGGUGCCUUCGGGAAUGCAGUGACAGGUGGUGCAUGGCUGUCGUCAGCUCGUGUCGUGAGAUGUUGGGUUAAGUCCCGCAACGAGCGCAACCCACGUUUUUAGUUGCCAGCAUUUAGUUGGGCACUCUAGAAAGACCGCCGGUGAUAAACCGGAGGAAGGUGUGGAUGACGUCAAGUCAUCAUGCCCCUUACACCCUGGGCUACACACGUACUACAAUGCUACGGACAAAGGGCAGCAAACUCGCGAGAGCUAGCAAAUCCCAUAAACCGUGGCUCAGUUCAGAUCGUAGGCUGCAACUCGCCUACGUGAAGUAGGAAUCGCUAGUAAUCGCAGGUCAGCAUACUGCGGUGAAUACGUUCCCGGGCCUUGUACACACCGCCCGUCACACCAUGGAAGUUGGCCAUGCCCGAAGUCGUUACUCCAACCCUUGUGGAGGAGGACGCCGAAGGUGGGGCUAAUGACUGGGGUGAAGUCAUAACAAGGUAGCCGUA
rnacentral:rRNA from 1 species